AUGAUCAAAACUUGGCUUGCACUCCACGAUGUCCAGCCCAACGAUUGUAUUGGUAUGGUUUCGGUUAAGGAUUGGUGGAGUCAGAAUGCCACGAAGCAAACUCCGUCGAGAAGGCCGCUUGUCUCCCUGAUGAUGCUUAUCUCCUGCGAAAUAUAGAAGGAGCGAAACACUAGAGUUUUCCGCAACACAGCCACUCGAGUGGGAGUGUUGGUCGCCAAGAUCAAAGAGGAAUACUCUCUUUGGAGCCUUGCGGGAGCAAAACAUUUGUGUAACAUUAUGUCACGAGAGUGA
rnacentral:rRNA from 1 species